rnacentral:rRNA from 1 species
CCUACGGGAGGCAGCAGUGGGGAAUCUUAGACAAUGGGCGCAAGCCUGAUCUAGCCAUGCCGCGUGUGUGAUGAAGGUCUUAGGAUCGUAAAGCACUUUCGCCAGGGAUGAUAAUGACAGUACCUGGUAAAGAAACCCCGGCUAACUCCGUGCCAGCAGCCGCGGUAAUACGGAGGGGGUUAGCGUUGUUCGGAAUUACUGGGCGUAAAGCGUACGUAGGCGGAUUGGAAAGUUGGGGGUGAAAUCCCAGGGCUCAACCCUGGAACUGCCUCCAAAACUAUCAGUCUAGAGUUCGAGAGAGGUGAGUGGAAUUCCAAGUGUAGAGGUGAAAUUCGUAGAUAUUUGGAGGAACACCAGUGGCGAAGGCGGCUCACUGGCUCGAUACUGACGCUGAGGUACGAAAGUGUGGGGAGCAAACAGGAUUAGAUACCCUUGUAGUCC